GAAAGAUUCAUCGGAAGAGGAUGGGCAUGCGGCGCAUUAGCUAGACGGCGGGGUAACGGCCCACCGUGGCGACGAUGCGUAGGGGUUCUGAGAGGAAGGUCCCCCACACUGGUACUGAGACACGGACCAGACUCCUACGGGAGGCAGCAGUGAGGAAUAUUGGUCAAUGGGAGAGAUCCUGAACCAGCCAAGCCGCGUGAGGGAAGACGGCCCUAUGGGUUGUAAACCUCUUUUGUCGGAGAACAAAACCCGGGACGAGUCCCGGACUGCGUGUAUCCGAAGAAAAAGCAUCGGCUAACUCCGUGCCAGCAGCCGCGGUAAUACGGAGGAUGCGAGCGUUAUCCGGAUUUAUUGGGUUUAAAGGGUGCGUAGGCGGUCUGUUAAGUCAGCGGUAAAAUUGCGGGGCUCAACCCCGUCGAGCCGUUGAAACUGGCAGACUUGAGUUGGCGAGAAGUACGCGGAAUGCGCGGUGUAGCGGUGAAAUGCAUAGAUAUCGCGCAGAACUCCGAUUGCGAAGGCAGCGUACCGGCGCCAGACUGACGCUGAGGCACGAAAGCGUGGGGAUCGAACAGGAUUAGAUACCCUGGUAGUCCACGCGGUAAACGAUGAAUGCUGGUUGUCCGGGUCGAAUGAGAUCUGG
rnacentral:rRNA from 1 species